rnacentral:sRNA from 1 species
UUUUCAUAAAUAAAUAUUUUAACUGGAAAUUUCCAAGUGUAUGACAGGCCUAGAAUGUGAACUUGAAUGUACUGUAAUAGAAAUCAUCAGUUGCCAUGGCGACCCGUUCCAAGAGCAGAGCGCGCCGAGUCACGUGAUCGGAGGGCGCUCAGUAAUACUAACACAUCAGAGAGCGAGGCCACUUAACCCCAAUCGCUUCCAGCUAUUGUGCAGAAUGCAAUUGAAUUUAUUCCUAAUUUCUGCCAGUGCUAAGGAACAAAAUUUCCCUGCAGAUUUUAAUCUUACUCAGGCGGCGCUCAGACGCUGUUCAGCACCAAUAUUCAGCCCGGCUACUCGCCCACUUUACAGCUCCAUUUUCCUAUUCUUAUUUGCAAUAAUAGCUUCCCUCUGCCUGCUGGAUACCGCACAUCCCCCUGCCCUGGGGAGAACUGCCCUUCUCCUUCCCACGUGGCUGUGCGGUUUUCUCUGACUCUGGCUGCUAAUGCAAGGAACACAGCCUUCAUAAUAAUACCGAUAAAAAAAAAAAAAGACAGCUCUCUACUUUCAGCAAUAGUCGCUUCCCCCCACACCCCCUCUCCCCAAACCUGUUGUAAAAUACGAUUUCUGCCAGCUUUUGACUGUGCUUUGGAAUACCACAAUUAACAGCCCCAUCGUAAUGAGGCAAAGCCCCACGGGUCAGCGAAUAAUGGAAUCAAAGUGUGAGUUUUCGGUCUCCAUCACCGUCACCUCCCUCUGGCCCCCCCAACCAGGAGAGCAGCCCAGACGCCCAGGAGGUACAGCCGCCUAUCACAGAACACUCAUUUCGAGAGCUUAUCAGCUCCCAUGAAAGCUGAUAAAUCAGAGUGUCUCAUACGGACAGUCUCGAGUUAGCCGUGUCAUCGAUCCCUCCUCCCCUUUUAAGCUCUUUGUCUUAUUCACUUCCAGAGAUGCUAUCAGAGAUGCCAAAUGAGUCUUUGUUUUCUGUGCUCUUGUGCAGCCUAGGGAUAGUCUUCUAGAAGUGUCAGAACACAUCACAGGGAAAGACUGAGCCUCACAGUCUCAGAAAGAAGAAAGAUGGUGGCGGCCAUUUUCUGCCUGCACUGUGAGGCAGCUUCCUGACCACAGCUGAGGAGGAAGCAGGUGUCAUGGUGGCCUGGAGUCACUCCUGAGAGCUCGCUCAACUCAGUGCCCGUAUCUGUGGCUUUCUUGGCAAAUUUUAAUUGACCACACUCAAGAUAAGGAGAACUUAUUGAGCAUCCAUGCGUUCAGGAUUAGGUCAAGUGCCCUGGGGCAUACGGUAAGUAUAAAUAAAAACUUAUCACUGAUUCUCAGGUUGACCACACAAGCUGGGCCAAAGGAGAUGCCACACAACUGGAGAUGUCACAACUGGUGACGGUUAAUUGUCCUGACUCUGUUGACUGUCUUAGGUAGGAGAAUGAGAGGUAGUAUACAUGUUCCUAUCUCCUUCAAUCAUAUUCCCGAGUCUAUGGGUUUUCUCUCUCCCUUUGCAGUCCUCACUGGCCCAGUGGACACUGGGGUUCUGGUAGUCCCUUCCUUCCUAAGGCUAGGAAUCAUACCUUGCUGUGCUAGCCCAAGGGUCUUUCCCAUACCUACUUUUGUAUCCUUUACUCCUCUGUCAGUAGCAUUUCCUCUAGAUUCUCUUCAUUUGCACCAUUAUUAGUGAGUUGAUUCUCUUGGGGGACCUGACUAAAAUUUACCAAGCAGCAGGGGGUUGGAGGGAGGGUGUCACUUUGUUUGUUCAGGGUGUCAACCAGAACAAAUACUUGUUUGAUGGAGGAGAAAGAGGUCGGCCUUCUUGCGCAGGAGAGGAGGAAGGAGGAGCUUUGAAAGCAGGCUGCCGCCUACAGAGAAGAAAAGACAAGGGCUUGAAGUGAGCAAGGUGGCCUUUGGUUCAGACAAACCCAAUCUGUGCAUCUAAAUCUUAGACUUUAAAAAGUUAAACGAAUCCUUCCUGGAGGCUUGUGCCUCCUCUCCUGUCACUUGUUUGAAAAGAGAGCUACAUCAAAACUCCAGGCGUCAGAAUUCCCUAGAACCCAAACUUCACAGCUCUGCCCUGCUGGGGGAAAUCUCAGAUCCUCAAUUAGGCGGUAGUGCGGAGCUGAGCCGGGAACUCCCUCCUGCUUUAAUUACUUCUGGCAUAAUGUUCUUUUUUAAGAUUUGCUAAUUGAAAUUAAACAGCUGCUGCGUUUGGACAGGGACAACAAAGAUUUCAUUGUCUAGCCUUCGCUGAUUUCGCACAGAUUGACAGGCCGUGAGGAAACCAGGGGCAAUCUUCCGCUUAUGGCUUCUGGGGCAUCCUAUGGUUCACUUAAAGCAAAAUAAAGAGUAUCAAGGAGACGUGGGCUCUACUGCUACCGCCAGGAGUCCACAGGACAAAUGGCAUUUUAAGUUAGUAUCAAGGCCACGUUUAUAAAAAUUACCCAGGAGCUAACACUAGCAGUCCAGAUACCUUAGUUGUGUUUUCUGUUGCUAUGAUAAAAUACCCUGACCAAAACAACUCAAGGGAGAAAGGGUUUUGGCGCAUGGCCGUCAUAGCAGGGAAUCCCUGGUGACAGGCACUUGAGGCUGAAAACAGUGACUGUCCAUGUUUAUCUGGUUUCCUCCUUUUUAUGUAGUUCAGCAUCUCAUCCUAGGGAAUGGUACCACCCAUAGUGGGUGUCCUUCUCAGCUCAAAUAACCUAACCAAGAUAAUCCCUCACAGGCCUGACCAGAGGCUAAGCUAAUCAAAACAGUUGCUUAUAGGCAUGCCUGGAGGCUUGUUUCCUAGGUGAUUCCAGAUCCCAUCAAGUUGACAAAGUGAAGUCUGUCAUGCCCAAACUAUCAAGACCCCUGUUUCUACAUACUGUAAGAAACUAAAGACAGUCAGUCACAGGAGAGACUUCAUGCAGGUGGAAUCUUUGCUGGUUAAGUUCGUGUCUAGGCAGGUGAUGUUGUGAACAGGCAGUUUUAUUACCCAGGAUGUUAGUAAAAGGUGCUCCAUGGACUUAAGCGUUCCGUCAGGUACGUUCAGAGUUUGAUUCUAAAGCAACAAGGUGGCUCAGGUCUUUGGAGAGAAGUUGGAGCUAGAAGGCUUGAGUUUGCAUGAGGUUUCAUGAGAGGCCUCUGUGCUUUUAGACUUCUGUGCCUUGGCUUUUUCGUAUUUCCAAUGAAAAUAAUGAGAAAUAAUUUGAGUAAGCCAGAGACAAUCAACUCAGGUAAGCACACUGAUUUCUUUGGGGGAACAAGUUGAGCUUUUGUCAGGAAAUAAUGCUUAUUAAUUUGAAUAAAAGCAAUGAAACUAUGUGGGUUAAACACAGAAGAGAGAGGAUCCUGGGUAAUGAUAGUGUCAGACAUAAGAACAGCGACGAAUGGAAACAAAGGCUUGUAAGAAGCAGAGUUCGUCAGUGCGGGGGAGGGUUAGCUCGAAAUUGUAAAUUCUCUUCGGUAAUAGCAUGGGGUGUGUGUGUGUGUGUGUGUGUGUGUGUGUGUGUAAUCAUCUCUGUCUUUUCUCAGUAUCAUAGAACCAGAGAAGACUUUCCCGAUCACCCUAAAAGCCAGUGUCCUAUCUUAGUUUGAUUUAGUUUUCUUCAUGGCUAUCAGUCGCUUUGCCUCUGUCUCUGUCUCAGUCUCUGUCUCUGCCUCUCUCAUGCGUGCAUCUAUCCAUGUGUCUGCUUCUGCUAACCCUUACCAACGACUUUAAUAACGCAAAAGAGAAGAGACUACGUCUGUUCACUGUUGCCUCCUCAGUGCCUAAAACCAUGCUCAGCACAUAGUAGGUAUGCAGUCAGUGUUUAUUAAAUGUAUUUAAUAGCAAUACUAUAAUUUAACAGUGAUACUCUAUGAUCUACAGUGUUGAAGUGUACAGAGAGUCUCACAAGAUACCUACUAAAUAACCAACUUUAUACCUCUCCCAUUCUUCUCCUCAAAGGGAGCAAGAUCACUUCACGGUCAUGCAGACCAGAGACCAGUGAGCACAAUAGUCGAGGUACUCAAGGCUUCCUCUUUCUGAGAGAGCUCUUGUUGCAGAGCCCAGAUGAGCUUUGGAUUUUCACUCUUUCUGUCUCGGCUUCCCAGAAUUGCAGGGAAUAUACCACCAUGCCCAUCUCUAAAUACUCCAAUUUUCUAAAAAACGUACUUUAUGGAAAUGGAAGCAGGAUUGAAGACAGAAGCAAGACCUCUCCCCCUCCAGGAAGAAGACCAGAAGUUUCCACACUUGGGUAAACUAGUUGACCCUAGCGACUAGCUCCUCCACAUUAGUAGUCUCCAUCUGACAGGGCCUCAGCUGAGGCCCAUUAGUUGGGCCUGCUCUAUUCCAAAGAAGAUGCACCCUGUUAGGAAUCUCGUAUUUAAAUCGAGGGUCGUGCAGAGAUGCGAGGGGAACCCUCUAAAGCAAAAGAAAGAGACAAAAAUUGUAAGAAAAAACAAACAUGGAAGGAGCCCCCAAAAGCAACAAGGUCUGUAUCUUUAGGGGGAUCUGGGAAGGUAUUACAGGAGGUAAUAGUUAAGAGAAUAGAGAAGAGAUGUCGGAAUUUACAAAUAGGUUUGCCAAAGUGAGAAAUGUGGCGGGAGAACUAGAGGAGAACAUCAAGCUGAUCUCCCAGAAAUUACAGCAAAAAGUUAGGGAAACACAGAGGACAAGUCUGGAGUGGAAACUUCUGGUUUCUUUGGAAUGUCAGUUGUGUCAGACGAUGGGCACACAGGUGAAAGGAUAUCUUGCUAAAGCAGACUUGUGAAAGAAUGUUUUCCUGAAGCAGACACAGGUGAAAGGAGGUUCUGAUAUAGCAAACACGUGAAAGGACCUGUGAUGAAGGGGUAUAAAUAUGUCCCCACAGACACUGAGAGACGAGCACAGGUCAUUGGUUUGGUGUGCACAGUCUCGCUGCCUAACGAUUCUUCCCUAAGGACGCACAUGUAUCGGUUCACCCUGUAUAGCAUUGUUGAACUCAACUUGCGGUUAUUCCACCACUGAGAGAAACUCGCCAGGGAACUGCUCGUGAGGUUCCUUUCAGUUUGCCAUGGCCUCACCUCAGGAUGGUUCUCAAGCCUGGGAGUGUUUUCAGGACUGAACUCUAGCUGCUGGUUCAUGCCUGGUGUCUGCCUGCCUAGAGCCAUGGACUGCAGCUGCUGAGUGCAUUGGUGUUUGCUACGGGACUGAACUGCUGCCCAAGGAGAUCGAACUCACCCCCAAAGAACUAUUGCUAAACGGGUCCAUUUUCCCCACAUCCUGAUAACUUUUCUAUUACCUCUGUUGGGUGGUGGGCAGGAGGAGAGGUGGAUCCUUAUUAAAAGAAGCUGAAAAAGAUUUUAUGUCCACACAAAUCUGUUUAGCAGCUGUCAGUGCUCCCUGAGCUCACCUCACCUCACUCGGCGCCUAGUUUUGUAACACGUCUGAAGCUGAGAGCGCGUUUUGUAUGUUCGAAUAGUGCGUUGAAAAAGAACAUGGGACAUAGAGCAUAUGGGGUCCACAAGCCCAACAUGUUCACUGCAUGACUCUCUACAAAACCACUUGCUUAACCCGGAUGCAGAAGGGUCGGUGUCCAAACUAUAGGGAUUCUGGAAAGAAGUUAACUAGUAAGGGAAACAUUCAAGAAUAGCCCCCAAAUCUAAGGACAUGAACCUUAUACUGAAAACCUAUAAAAAGGCCUGGAACUCGGUUCUCAGAACCUAGGUGGGGCCACUCACAAACACCCAUCACUCUGC